GGCGAACGCUGGCGGCGUGCCUAAUACAUGCAAGUUGAGCGCUGAAGGUUGGUACUUGUACCAACUGGAUGAGCAGCGAACGGGUGAGUAACGCGUGGGGAAUCUGCCUUUGAGCGGGGGACAACAUUUGGAAACGAAUGCUAAUACCGCAUAAAAACUUUAAACACAAGUUUUAAGUUUGAAAGAUGCAAUUGCAUCACUCAAAGAUGAUCCCGCGUUGUAUUAGCUAGUUGGUGAGGUAAAGGCUCACCAAGGCGAUGAUACAUAGCCGACCUGAGAGGGUGAUCGGCCAAAUUGGGAAUGAGACAAGGCCCAAACUCCUACGGGAGGCAGCAGUAGGGAAUCUUCGGCAAUGGACGAAAGUCUGACCGAGCAACGCCGCGUGAGUGAAGAAGGUUUUCGGAUCGUAAAAAUCUGUUGGUAGAGAAGAACGUUGGUGAGAGUGGAAAGCUCGUCAAGUGACGGUAACUAACCAGAAAGGGACGGCUAACUACGUG
rnacentral:rRNA from 1 species